CCUACGGGAGGCAGCAGUGAGGAAUAUUGGUCAAUGGGCGAGAGCCUGAACCAGCCAAGUCGCGUGAGGUAUUACUGCCCUAUGGGUUGUCAACCUCUUUUGUCUGGGAGCAAAAUCCUGACGUGUCCGGCUGUUAUAGUUCCCGAAGACAUAGCAUCGUCUACCUCCGUUACAGCAACCGCGUUAAUACGUAGUAUUCGGGUGUUAUCCGGAUUUAUUGGGUUUCACGGGUGCGUAGGCGGAAUUCCAAGUCAGCGGUAACAUCGCGGGGCUAAACCUCGCUCCGACGUUGAAACUGGCGUUCUUGAGUGGGCGAGAAGUAUGCGGAAUGCGUGGUGUAGCGGUGAAAUGCAUAGAUAUCACGAAGAACUCCGAUUGCGAAGGCAGCAUACCGGCGCCCAACUGACGCUGAAGCACGAAAGCGUGGGUAUCGAACAGGAUUAGAUACCCCUGUAGUC
rnacentral:rRNA from 1 species